ACAUGCAAGUCGAGCGAACCCUUCGGGGUUAGCGGCGGACGGGUGAGUAACGCGUGGGAACGUGCCCUUCUCUGCGGAAUAGGCUCGGGAAACUGGGUUUAAUACCGCAUACGCCCUUCGGGGGAAAGAUUUAUCGGAGAAGGAUCGGCCCGCGUUAGAUUAGGUAGUUGGUGGGGUAAUGGCCUACCAAGCCUACGAUCUAUAGCUGGUUUGAGAGGAUGAUCAGCCACACUGGGACUGAGACACGGCCCAGACUCCUACGGGAGGCAGCAGUGAGGAAUCUUGGACAAUGGGGGAAACCCUGAUCCAGCCAUGCCGCGUGAGCGAUGAAGGCCUUAGGGUUGUAAAGCUCUUUCAGUCGUGAAGAUAAUGACGGUAGCGACAGAAGAAGCCCCGGCUAACUCCGUGCCAGCAGCCGCGGUAAUACGGAGGGGGCUAGCGUUGUUCGGAAUUACUGGGCGUAAAGCGCGCGUAGGCGGACUAUUAAGUCAGGGGUGAAAUCCCGGGGCUCAACCCCGGAACUGCCUUUGAUACUGGUAGUCUAGAGUUCGAGAGAGGUGAGUGGAAUUCCGAGUGUAGAGGUGAAAUUCGUAGAUAUUCGGAGGAACACCAGUGGCGAAGGCGGCUCACUGGCUCGAUACUGACGCUGAGGUGCGAAAGCGUGGGGAGCAAA
rnacentral:rRNA from 1 species